rnacentral:lncRNA from 1 species
CCAGCCACCAUGGUUGGAGUCUUGGGCCCAAUUGGGUGGGCAGAGAUUUGUGGCUGUAACGGUGGUAAAUCCUUUGUAGCAAAACUUAGACUUCACACAUUUUAUUUGGAAGCAUUGUCCACAUGAAUAUCCAUUGCUAAAUAACACCGUGCUCAAUGCUGCUGUAGCUGUUCCAUAGCCAGAAUUGAACAAAUUCCCAUAUCCACAAGCUCCACCUGCAAUAACGAGUCAAAUUAGUUAUUUGAGUUCACACAUUUUAUUUGGAAGCAUUGCCCACAUGAAUAUCCAUUGCUAAAUAACACCGUGCUCAAUGCUGCUGUAGCUGUUCCAUAGCCAGAAUUGAACAAAUUCCCAUAUCCACAAGCUCCACCUGCAAUAACGAGUCAAAUUAGUUAUUUGAAAAAUAACGUAGGUUACCUGCUACAAUAAGUUAAAAU